rnacentral:lncRNA from 10 species
GCGCUGCCCACCCACCACACCGCUAGCGCCUCUGAACCUCGCCAGGCACGUCCGGUUCUGCGGCCCCCACUCCGCCCCCGCCUGCCGGGAGCCGCGCAGUUACAAAGUGCCGGGAGCCGUGCAGGGCCAGUGAACCCCUCGCUGAGACUCAGUUUGCUGCCAUCACAAGUGCUCUGAGAAUCCUGGAGAGGGAGGAUAUUGGAGACAAACGGGACUGCUGCCCGCCUUUUAGGCGACCGUUGGAGGCUGCUCUGUGCCGGACACAGGCAGGGAAAAUGUCAGCCCCGCGAGGGAAAUGGCAAAGGGAAGAUGACAGCAGACGAGAGAAACAACAGCCCCACCUGACACAGCCAGGACCCUGCGGAGAGGCGGCAGGAGCCCCCACUUCCUCGGGACUCAGCCUCUGCACCCCGGGACUGCCCAUGGCCCCUCUGAGGGCUCUCCUCACUCCUUCCUCCCUCAUUAGGGAAGAGGCCAGUACCCAGCAGCCAUGGCCCAAGCGCAGGUGGUCUGUUCUGUGCACCCAGCAUCCCCCUAGGGUCUAAACCAGCUCCCACAGCUCAGAAGUCAGCGGAGCAGAGUCCCCAGGAAACCAGGGUCAGGGAUGGAGGCUGCUGAGGAGCGGGUCUGGGAGGUGGAGGCCAGAUACAAGAAAACCACAGUACCAGUAAAUGACAAAGGCUGGAUCUUAACCCAAGUCCUCCGACUCUGAAGGCCAUACCCAACAGGUCCCAUUUUAUUUGUUUUACUUUUUUUUAAUUGAAGAAAAAAAAACUAGCAUUCCCCUACAGUGCCCCCCACCUGGUGGGGACAUCUUGGGUUGGCAAGGCCACCACUUUCAAGAGUAGAAGUGUUUUUCAGCAGGAGGAGUUGGCUGCACCAAAGGAGCUCAGGAGAAGCUGGAGUCUCAGGCCCAGCAGGAACAGCCAGAGGUUUUGCAGCUUUGCCCAGCGGCUGGGUUCGCCGAAGGGUCUCCCUGGGGGUUCCCAGCAUGAGCCGAAGCCACCCUCCCCUGUGGGAUCUGUGAGGCCAGGCAUUGGGCCUCUUUAGGCCUCAGUUUCCUCCCCUGUCAUAGGCAACUGACAGUCCCUCUGGAGCGCCACUGGGGCUGCAGAGGGAGGCCGGAGAGAUGGUGCCCCCCCUCCUCCCCGCCACCCCCACACACAGCCCUCAGCAGGAUGGUGGCUGCCUGGCCGAUUGCUUUUGCAUUUGCAGCAGAGCGGGGGAGUGAGGCCAAGCUGAGUGCCCCCUCCCCCUGCCCAGCCAGCUCAGACCCAGGCGGUGGAGCAGGAAGGCUCUGGGGAAAACAGUGUGAGUCACCGGGCGGCCAGAGUGUGUCCUUCCCUGCUAGCGCACUACACGGCAGGUUUCAUAGCUUGACAGCAAAGUGUUUGAAAACGAAGAGCAGGAAUUCCGCGGUUCCUGCCCGGCCUCGCCAUCCAGCUGGGAGAAGAGCAUGGUCAUUUC